rnacentral:rRNA from 1 species
UACGGGGGGGGCAAGCGUUGUUCGGAAUUACUGGGCGUAAAGAGCUCGUAGGCGGUCUGUCGCGUCGGCUGUGAAAACCCGGAGCUCAACUCCGGGCCUGCAGUCGAUACGGGCAAACUGGAGUGUUGCAGGGGAGACUGGAAUUCCUGGUGUAGCGGUGAAAUGCGCAGAUAUCAGGAGGAACACCGGUGGCGAAGGCGGGUCUCUGGGCCGAUACUGACGCUGAGGAGCGAAAGCGUGGGGAGCGAACAGG